rnacentral:rRNA from 1 species
GACGAACGCUGGCGGCGUGCUUAACACAUGCAAGUCGAACGAAGUGGCGAACGGGUGAGUAACGCGUAAUCAACCUGCCCUUCAGAGGGGGAUAACAGUUGGAAACGAAUACUAAUACCGCAUACUGAAGGUGGGGAUUGCGUCUGAUUAGCUAGUGGGAGGGGGAACGCCCCACCAAGGCGAUGAUCAGGAGCCGGGCUGAGCGAAUGAACGGCCACAUUGGGACUGGGACAAGGCCCAGACUCCUACGAGAGGCAGCAGUGGGGAAUCUUCCGCAAUGGACGAAAGUCUGACGGAGCAACGCCGCGUGAGUGAUGACGGCUUUCGGUUUGUAAAGCUAUGUGAAUCGGGACGCGGUACCGGAAUAGAAAGCCACGGCUAACUACGUGCCAGCCGCCGCGGUAAUUC